GGAGGGCGGGGCUGGUUUUAACGGAGGUAAGAAUUAACAAGCUUAUACCCGCCAAACGUGAAGUGAUAAAAAAAUGAGGCUUGGUUUAGAAUAACUAGAAUACACAGCCGAACAAGUCCUAACUUGUCAGUUAUCGAUCGGCCGACGCUAGUUAUAGUUGUGCGUAAUAACUUCGAAUUGACAGAAUGAGAAAUUACAAAAGGAAGAGUACAAGGGGGUCUACAUCUCAAGAAGUAUUUGAGCUGGCAGCUGAAGAAGUUCUGGUAAAUAACAGGAAAUAUAGAGAUGUUGCUACUGAAUACGAUAUUUGUCACGUAACACUAUUUAAAUACGUAAAGAAAAAAAGGAGGGAACUUCUGUUGCUGUGGGUUAUAAAAAAACCGUCUAGUUUAUAAUUCUGAGCAAGAAACAAUGAUAGCUAAUUAUUUAGUCAAAUGUUCUAAUAUCUAUUUUGGAUUGCUACCAGACGUCAAAAAAUUAGCUUACGAGCUUGCCAUUCGAUACAAGAUAGAUAAUAUUCCAGAAUCUUGGAAAAGAGACGGAAAGGCUGGCAAGUUUAAGUACAAAUUAGAUUAAGACUGAUUAACUAGUUACCUUAUUAAUAUACCUAAAGAUUGUCUCGUACUAAAAAGUAUUAACACUGUGACAUUUGUUGAUGAAUAUCAAGUAGAUUUAAAAUACUGUAUUGCUUAAGGUAACUCAUAGAGGUUUUUUAAGACUGAUACUAAAAAGUUUAUGUGACUUUUAUUUAAUUAUUAUGUUUAAACUAUUUAAAAAAAUGUUCGUAACAGAUUUAUAAGAUAAUACUAUUUUUUCUACUCCAUUAAGAACUUAAAGACUGUUGAACCUAAAAAGUUUAAGUUUAAACUAUGUGUUUAAUUUUUUUUAGGCUUAAAAUUAUUCAAACUGUAGCAAUGAUUAUUAUUAAGUGUAGAUUUAAAAGAAUUUGUUAUAUUCUUUCAGUUCCUAUCAUAAAAAGUACUAAUUUGUUUAACAUUGAAGGCAAUAAAACAUUUUCAUUAAUU